ensembl:lncRNA
GAAGAGAAGGCUGCGGGGUGACCUCAUUGCAGCCUUUCAGUACCUGAAGGGAGCCUAUAAACAGGAAGGGAGUAAACUCUUUGAAAGGGUAGAUAACAGCAGGACAAGGGGGAACGGUUUUAAAUUGAAAGAGGGAAGAUUGAGGUUGGAUGUUAGGGGGAAGUUCUUUACCAGGAGAGUGGUGAGGUGCUGGAACGGGCUGCCCAGAGAGGUUGUGGAUGCCCUGUCCCUGGAGGUGCUCAAGGCCAGGUUGGAUGGGACCCUGGGCAGCCUGGUCUAGUAAAUGGGGAGGUUGGUGGCCCUGCCUGGCAGGGGGGUUGGAGAUUCAUGAUCCUUGAGGUCCCUUCCAACCCAGGCCAUUCUGUGAUUCAGUAACUUGAAAGUGCAAAGUAAUUGUAUACUGGCUGAUGCACACAGAUAGCCGAGAAUACUCUUGGCUGUGUUAAGCAUUCAACAAUCCCAAUAUAAAAUAUUAAAUAAUUUUUUUGUCAGAUAGGAUAUUGUUUUUCAUGUGGAAAAUGUUCAGUAUCUCCGUCUCCUUGAAAUGAGAGUGAACAUAGGUGAUGCUCAGCUAUUGUAGUGAAACUACUUCCCUCACAUCCUCCCUGUCAUCUUAGGAUUCUAAAUAUUUACACAUUAUGGUUUUCUCUCAUGACAUCUUGAAUCUUCUUUCCAAGAAUCCUACUUUUUUUUUUUUUUUCCCUGUAUCUUUAUUAUUUCAUCUUGCACAGUCUGUACUCUUUUUCAGAUAUUAGCAAACUCCUCAAAAUUUGCAGGAGCCUAGCAUAACAGUCCAGUCCUGCUUUGAAGUCCUGGAGAAUUUAUUAUAAACAUAGAUUUCUAGGCCAAAGAACUACUUUAAAAGGCAACUGAUUUUUUUUGCAUUACAGCAAAUAAAAAAUGAUUUAUUUUAUUUCCUCCCAUUGCACAAAAACAAAGAUGAAGCCAGACCUUUUCAGUAUUGUAGCAAUAAUUUAAUUGAACUUUCAUUCUUCUAGCAAGCUAAGCAUGACAUGUUUGCUUGGAGUGAAUUUUAAAAAAUUGCUUAGUAAAAUUACCGAAGGAAAUGCAUUUGAAAAAUGUUAUUG